rnacentral:tmRNA from 1 species
GGGGCUGAAUUAGCUUUAGACAAGAGGAAUUUAACAGUUUAGCUUGCAAGUCGUUUACUACGUAAAGUAAUAAAAUAAAUGCAAAAAACUUUGCAGCUCGAGUUGCAGCAUUCUUUGCUCCAGCUCCAGCAACAAUUGCCGCUUAAUUUUUUGGCAAUCAUUUUUUAAAACAGGGCAGUGCGUGUUUUAAAAAGUGUCAUAUAUUUUUCACUGAUAGUUUAAAACCUUGCGAUAAGUUUUAAAUGAGAUUUUUUUCGCAACUUUUAAUGUAUUUUUGUUUAUUUUUAGAGCAUUAAAUUUUAUUUAGAAUAGACUAAGCUUGUAGAAGGCUAAAAUGUUACCUUUUGGACCCGAGGGCAGUUCUCGGCAGCUCCACCA